GAAUGAAGGGAGCAAGGAAAUAAGCACAAAAAUUGAAUCGGGUCUCUAGAUCUGCCCUCGCUUAUGCCUUCCUGCUUUGCUUUGGGGGCAGGGUUUUACCUCAAAUCC